UACAGAGGGUGCAAGCGUUGUUCGGAAUUAUUGGGCGUAAAGCGCGUGUAGGCGGCUUUGCAAGUCGGGUGUGAAAGCCCUCGGCUCAACCGAGGAAGUGCGCCCGAAACUGCAGAGCUUGAGUACCGGAGAGGAUGGCGGAAUUCCCCAAGUAGAGGUGAAAUUCGUAGAUAUGGGGAGGAACACCGGUGGCGAAGGCGGCCAUCUGGACGGAUACUGACGCUGAGACGCGAAAGCGUGGGGAGCGAACGGG
rnacentral:rRNA from 1 species